UCCAAGGGAGCAAUGAGAGCAAGAAGUCUUGGGAAUAAGAGAGUUAAGGAUGGGAGAAAGGUAGGGCAUGUGAGUAGAAGGAUUAUAGGAAAGGGUAGUUUUAAGUUUCUGCUGUUGAGUUACUUGAUUGUAUGAAGGGUUUUUUGGUGGAUGUCCCUGUUACUGAAUAACACAAUAGUUUGGAAGUGGAUAAGGGCUUUGGUAGUUGGCCUACAACAACCACCAAGCAGUCAUGAUUGUUAUUUU
rnacentral:lncRNA from 1 species